rnacentral:lncRNA from 1 species
GUUCAUUAUAUGUGAAGUUUAUUUGGAAAAAUGAAAAGAAUUGUUGCCCUACAGAAGAACUUGGUAGUGACGUCUGCAGAGAGGUGCUGGGCAUCUUGUUUAAAUUCCUUGUGACUUAGGGCUAUGGAACUGAGCCAAAACCAGCAUCACGGCUGCCCCUAGUCACAUUGCUGCAGUUUGAAACACCUGUCUAAAGAACAACGUAGAGCUCAUCAUACAGAAGUGAGCCAGCUAUCUCUGCCAGACGGAAUAGAGUUCUAGCAUCUGUGUCUUCAGGCCAAAUGAUGUAUGAUCCAGUUUGAUUUAAUUUACUUAUCAUUCACAUUGGAGGGAAUUCAGAAUACGAAGAUAGAACAGGCCCUGAGUAAAGAAAGGAAGAUGCAGAGUGCCCUGCGAAGAACUUGUCACCAGACAGCAAAGGUUGUGUCUCAAGCUUCAGUGCAAGUGUGGCCAGUAUGGGUCCCAAAAAGUCAAGAUGGCUCCUGACAGCAGUAAUCAGGUACAGGGAUGCGCAGUGAUGGGGAAUCAAAGGCAUCUAGCCUAGUGCCGAAGUUUACAUUCUUACCAGCUAUGAGAUCUGAUGUGCCACUUAAUCUCUCUGUCCUUUAGUUUCCUAAUCUUUAAAAUGGACAGACAAUUUAAAAAAUAAUUUAAACAGUUCCUGAAGUAUUACAAAAGUGAUUAUUGAUGACAAUGAUUAUUUAUGAGAGCACCAGGACAUGGGAAAUGUAGAUUAUAUAUUCUACAGGAUAUAUAAUCCUAUAUAUCCUGCCAGGACAGAAAGAAUAAUGUGGAGGAGAAAUAUUGAAUUGACAGCAUAUUUACCUAGAUGGAAUGGAAUUAAAACUAGAAGAAACUGAAUGUACUUUGGAUUGGUAAGAUUAAGUUUCCGGACAGCAGACGAAAUGGAUGUCUAUAAAUCCAUUUUUCACAAGUGGGUCAAAGUGUCUAUAAAUUCAUAUCUUGCUGGAUAAUUAGAUAAUUCCCUUUUAAAAAUAACAUGUGGUUAUAGUGAACCAGACACAAAUACAGGAUUUAUUGGCAAGAACUAAUUGAUUCUAAUUAGUUUGAUACCUAAUUUGGUUUUAUGUUUCUCUCUUUGCGUUUUACCUCCAAAUUGAAGACUCUUUACCUUAACAGCUUAUACAGCAUAAUCUGUUAAACAUUUCUGGAAAAAGAAAUGUAUCAUUCCCUUUGAAAGUUAUUCAUUCC